rnacentral:rRNA from 1 species
UACAGAGGGGGCAAGCGUUAUUCGGAAUUAUUGGGCGUAAAGGGCGCGUAGGCGGCUUGGCAAGUGGAAGGUGAAAUCCCUCGGCUUAACCGAGGAACUGCCCUCCAAACUGCUUCGCUUGAGACCGGGAGAGGUGAGUGGAAUUCCCAGUGUAGCGGUGAAAUGCGUAGAUAUUGGGAGGAACACCUGUGGCGAAAGCGGCUCACUGGACAGCAACUGACGCUGAUGCGCGAAAGCUAGGGGAGCAAACAGG